rnacentral:rRNA from 1 species
GAUGAACGCUAGCGGCAGGCUUAAUACAUGCAAGUCGAGGGGUAGCAAGAUUGUAGCAAUACAAUUGUUGACGACCGGCAAACGGGUGCGGAACACGUACACAACCUUCCUACAAGUGGGGAAUAGCCCAGAGAAAUUUGGAUUAAUACCCCGUAACAUAGCGAUGUGGCAUCACAUUGCUAUUAUAGCUUCGGCGCUUUUUGAUGGGUGUGCAACUGAUUAGAUAGUUGGCGGGGUAACGGCCCACCAAGCCUACGAUCAGUAGCUGAUGUGAGAGCAUGAUCAGCCACACGGGCACUGAGACACGGGCCCGACUCCUACGGGAGGCAGCAGUAAGGAAUAUUGGACAAUGGACGCAAGUCUGAUCCAGCCAUGCCGCGUGAAGGAUUAAGGUCCUCUGGAUUGUAAACUUCUUUUAUAAGGGACGAAAAAAGGUCUUUCUAGAUCGUCUGACGGUACCUUAUGAAUAAGCACCGGCUAACUCCGUGCCAGCAGCCGCCGUAAAAC